rnacentral:siRNA from 1 species
UUAAUCAAAACUCAAUUCGACGGU